GCCAAUGUGGUGCAGUGGUCUGAGCGUUGGACUAGGACUCUGGAGACCAGGGUUUGAUUCCCAGCUCAGCCU
rnacentral:tRNA from 1 species